GAGUUAUUCCACGGAGAUCGCGGCCUCGCUCGUCCCAGUUCUGCUGUUCGCCGGCCUGAUCGCGUCGGCGUGGUUCAUCCACCGGAGGGGCCACACAGGUCUGUAACUUCCCACGGGGAUCGGGUUUGUUCCCCGGGGCAUGGCAUUGCCGUCCACGCCCCAGUGUAACCUUUGCAGCUGGACAGGGUUGGGGUGGGGGACCCGGGGAAGGAGUUGUUGGGUCAGGAACUGGGGUGGACCGUGUUCCUGACAGUAGGAGGGAGAGCACUCACCAAGUUAGCCUCCUGGAUCGGGUAAAUGUGACCAAUACUCCCACUCUGUGUUACCUCAGAGAAGAGGAGAGGCAUAAGAUCGUGUGAAUCAGGAACAGGAGGAGGCCAUUCAGCCCCCUCAAAUCCUUGCUCCACUAAUCCUCACCCUAACUUAAACUCAAUCCUACCGCUAAACUAAAUCUUUGUCCUAAACCGAGCUCUCAUUCUCAUUCUAAUCUUGCCUCUCAGCCAAAUGCUAACUAAAACUAAUAACUAACCCAAGCCUUAAGCCUAGCCGUAGACUGAACACUGACCCUCACCCGAACCCUCGCCUCAUCACCUUAAACCAAACCUUAAUGCUGAACCAACCUUAACCCUAACGCUGGCCCAACCCAUAACCCAAAACCUAACCAUGACCCUAAUCCUAAUCUGAAUCCUAACACUAACCUUAAACUGAAUACUAACCCUCACCAUAAAACAAUCCUUAACCUCAUGCUAACCCUAACUCUGGCCUUGGCCCUCACUCAGACACGAACGAAACCCUCACCUAAUCCCUGUCACAAGUGGUUAAUGUGCAUUCAGAUGGGUUUGAUGAUUCUCAUCUAUUGAUGUGUUUGCUCUCUGCUUAUGACUGAGAAAGGGCUUUGCAGCUCCUGUCUGGAACAGCACAAAGCUACUGUCCAAUACGCUAAGAAUGUUAUCUCUCUACCUGCAGGCAAUUCCUCACCUGUGUCACAGCCCAAGAGGUAAGGGGAUGAAACUGCAAAUUUUAUAUUUGCCAUUGUUUAUCCUGAUUCCCCUUAAUCAGGGAGCGACAACGAGCAGAAGAACUGAGAGAGGGAACUUGGGUAUUGCCUUAUCCUUUUAAUAUGAGCCUGACAAACCAGGAAACAAUACUCCUGGAAAGUCCCAGGUGGCUUUUAUUCAUUCACAGGGGUGUGCGUGUCACUGACAGGGCCAGCAUUUUAUUGCCAAUCCUUAAUUGCCCCAGAGGGCAGUUUUGUUAACCAGCUUCUAGAGUCACAAAUGGGCCAGACCAGGUAAGAAUAGCAGAUUUCCUUCCCCAAAGGACAUAAGUGAAAAGCGAUGGGGAAUUGGGCAGCUCCUUGAGGGUGAGAAAGCUCCAUGUUUGGAUGGAAACCAGGGACGUGGGACCAAUGAAUAACAGGGUCUCACUGGGCUUUGUAAUUUCCGUGGUAGCUUUGCUGUUUUGUUGAAGCUGAGCGUGGGGUUGAAAGCGUUGUGUUUGAAAUGACAACUUCCUUCCCUUCCCCUUUCUACUGGAAAUAGAUCCCAAGCUUCUGGUGAAGUGGCAGCAGCCAGCAACCUGGAGUAUGCAGUAAUCGGAGCAGCACACAAUGCUGAAAACGCCGCUGCGGAUAUAGUUUAUUCAGUGGUCACCACCAAAAAGAGAACAGAGUCUGGCAGCAGUGUUGGUUUCUCCUCGAAUGGGAAGGAGGAUGCCAAGCCUGACCCCAAUGAUUCCUGUAUCACAUACGCCACACUGAACCUCAGCGAGCUCUCAGAGGAAGAAGACAGAGCGGAUGGAAAUGUUUACGAGAAUAUUCCACACAAGUAAGAAAGAAGAAGACAGAUGAGAGGCGGGUCAUUCGAUUUUUAUAGACUGUCUGGUGAAGAGGUACAAUGUAACUCCUGUGUACAGAUCGCAAACUUGUGAACUUUGCGAUGGAAACCAUCUUUCACACGUUGUUCUGCUCCACUCAUUGUGAAGCUAAUUUCAUGUUGUUGCAUCUGUUGGUCUGUUCUGGACAUUGCAGGCCGUUAGUUUUGUAAAUUCAAAACUAUUUCAGCAGCUGUGGUCUUUGGAAAUUUAAUACCUGCCUCUCCUUCCCUCUCAUGUACAUGUCUGAGGAUUGAGCUUUUCAGUUGGUCCAUGUUUAAGGGGAGGAAGACAUCAUCUGCCACCUUGUGCGCAUGGAACAGGAAUCUCCCCUAUUCUGACCAACUUUGAACAGGAAUUGCCAGAAGGAUCUGACAGUUGGGAGAUAUAUAAAAGGAGAAACCAGCCAAUUUCAAUGGUUACAUUCCAGGGCGAAAGAGACCUGGGGUGUGGGGUUGGAAGGAGCAACUUCUGGCCCCACAGAAGGAACACACACUGAGCUGCAAGCCACUGAACAAACUGGAUAGAAAAGGCAUGGAUGAAACAGAGUCUAUACGGAAAAGACUAGAUCUCCCAAAGAACCAAAACCCCUG